UAGCUACGGCGAGUGAGAGGGAAGAGCCCAAGAUUGAAAGCUGGCGUCUUCGGCGUCCGCAUUGUAAUCUCAAGAAGUGUUUUCCGCUUCGGACCAUGCCUAAGUCCCUUGGAAAAGGGCAUCAUAGAGGGUGAUAAUCCCGUACAUGGCAUGGAGCGCCCGAAGCUUUGUGAUACGCUUUCUAAGAGUCGAGUUGUUUGGGAAUGCAGCUCAAAAUGGGUGGUAAAUGCCAUCUAAGGCUAAAUAUUGGGGAGAGACCGAUAGCGAACAAGUACAGUGAUGGAAAGAUGAAAAGAACUUUGAAAAGAGAGUUAAACAGUACGUGAAAUUGCCAAAAGGGAAGGGUAGGAGGUCAGAGAUGCGGCCUGGGAUUCAGCCUUGCUUUUGCUUGGUGUUUUUCCCAGAUUGCAGGCCAACGUCGGUUUUGGGCACUGGAGAAGGGUAGGAGGAACGUGGCACCUCUCGGGGUGUGUUAUAGCCUCCUACUGGAUACAGCGACCGAGACCGAGGACAGCAGCGUACUCGCAAGAGCGGGCCUUCGGGCACCUUUACGCUUAGGGCGUUGGCAUAAUGGCCCUCUACCACCCGUCUUGA
rnacentral:rRNA from 1 species